rnacentral:rRNA from 1 species
UACGGGGGGGGCAAGCGUUGUUCGGAAUUACUGGGCGUAAAGGGCUCGUAGGCGGCCCACUAAGUCAGACGUGAAAUCCCUCGGCUUAACCGGGGAACGGCGUCUGAUACUGGAGGGCUUGAGUUCGGGAGAGGGAUGCGGAAUUCCAGGUGUAGCGGUGAAAUGCGUAGAUAUCUGGAGGAACACCGGUGGCGAAGGCGGCAUCCGGGACCGAGACUGACGCUGAGGAGCGAAAG